rnacentral:rRNA from 1 species
GACGAACGCUGGCGGCGUGCCUAAUACAUGCAAGUUGAGCGCUGAAGGUUGGUACUUGUACCAACUGGAUGAGCAGCGAACGGGUGAGUAACGCGUGGGGAAUCUGCCUUUGAGCGGGGGACAACAUUUGGAAACGAAUGCUAAUACCGCAUAAAAACUUUAAACACAAGUUUUAAGUUUGAAAGAUGCAAUUGCAUCACUCAAAGAUGAUCCCGCGUUGUAUUAGCUAGUUGGUGAGGUAAAGGCUCACCAAGGCGAUGAUACAUAGCCGACCUGAGAGGGUGAUUGGCCACAAUGGGACUGAGACACGGCCCAAACUCCUACGGGAGGCAGCAGUAGGGAAUCUUCGGCAAUGGACGAAAGUCUGACCGAGCAACGCCGCGUGAGUGAAGAAGGUUUUCGGAUCGUAAAACUCUGUUGGUAGAGAAGAACGUUGGUGAGAGUGGAAAGCUCAUCAAGUGACGGUAACUACCCAGAAAGGGACGGCUAACUACGUG